UUAAAAGUUGAUUACGGGAUUUUCUGAGACUUUAUUUUUGCAGACAAAUGUAGGCGUAUUUUUUAUUAACAAGUAAAUAUCAGCCAAAGUAAGUUGCAUUUUUUUAAUCUUUCGAAAGGCAUGAUUUUGUUCUAGGGAUUUCUCUGUAGUGAAGAGCCAGUUCCUCGUAGAAUGACGUCAAUAUCGAUAAAGGCAAAACGCACCCCGGAGCGCUAUUGUAAGGAUCUUUCUCUCCGCUGAUACCCGGCCGGAGCGCGGCUGGACCCGAACUGCCUCCCUGCGGAACUCCUGCUGGAAUGGUUUGAGUGCGCAGAGCGCAGCAGAGAAUUUUCUUAUGAGACGGGAGUGGGAAACGGGGAUUGUGCUAAACUGGACAAUGGCCGUGUCAACUUACUUUCUGGACAACUUUUUAAUAUCGAAAGAUUAAUGCCCAGUGUCACCGCCGAGAGCUGCUGAACAGUACGCGAAAUUUUUAAUAAGUGCACCUGUUUUAAUUUUUCCGCAGUUAGCUUAGGCUACUACUUACAAAGUUGCACCGUUAAUGUUACUUACAAAAAUAAAUCAAGUAGUGUCUUAAUUAAAAAUGUGUUAUAAAAAGGGCAAAUUAAAAUGAUUCGGAGAUCUUCAUUUAGAGACCACCCGUGUCAAAAAACAAAAAACAAAAAAAAACAAAGAGAGGCGAAUGCUGACAAUAAUGUCAAGGAGAAACAUAUAACUGAAAUAAAUAAACGAUAAAAAAAAAUACAUAAAUCACUUAAAAAUAGCAUAAUACAUUAUGCCUAAGCUAAUAUUAAUAAUAUAGCCCUGGUUAAACAUUUUUAUUCAAGCUGACUACGUUUAUUUUAAUAAACACGUGCAUUACACGGUGUGGGCCUGUGUUAGGGAUCUUCGUAAUACGGUAAAAUACACUAUUAUUAUCAUUAAAGAGCUUAAAUUAUUAUCUUGAAAACUUACUUAAUUGUUUUGAUGAAUAAAUAUGAAUAGCCUAAAACAUAGUGAAUAUUUACAAAGAAAUCAGAGAAAUAAAUUAUCAUUACUUGACGUUGUUUGUCUAUCAGGACAAAACUGGGCGUUUGUGAUUUAUUGGAAAAUAAAGUACACAAAAGUUGUGUAUUUUGGAGUAUUUCUAAUAUUCAUUUUGAAAUAAAAACGUUUGAUGCCACGAUUGGCAUAAUGUAGAUAAUGUAAUAUACGACUUUUCCAUUGAAAAUAAUAUUAUGUAAAAUGACAUUUGACACUCUGCUGCUCUGGCAGAGACAUGCUCUCAUGUCACUGCUCAUUUUUUCACAAACAAUAAACUGGGUUAAUUGUUUUUAAAAAGCAGCAUUGGCUACAGUAUUUCUUUGCUAUUAAAAAAUUACCAUUUAAAAGUGUGAUUUCGUUUUUGUUCUUAGUAAAAAGUGCAAACUAGAAUUUCGACACAAUGCAUUAAAGAGGAGAAGAGAUACUCUAUAAAAUUAAAUAUGAAGACAAAUUAAAAAUCUUUAAAAAGAACAUAGGGUAAAGUUUCUCUAAUUGAAGAAACAUCUAUAAACAGACAAAAAAUAAGUUCCACCUACAGUCUGCUAACCUUCAGGGCUCAAUACCUAAUGAAAUGAAAACUCUAUUGAAAACUCUUGGAGAUCUGUCAGGAUGACUAAAGCUUUCCUUUUGGAAGCAGCCAAUAAAACAAUUUCUGUUCACACCAACCCCUCCCGUCCCACUCGCUCCAUUCGCACACAUUGCCCACCACAAAUGAGCCCCUUUUUUUUCGGGCGACUCUUUAAGCCGCAUAGAUUCUGUUUCUCUAGCGUCUCUGAGAAAGUAAACUUUGAGUGACCCUCCAGGUUAGUUUAGUCUGGGAUUUCAGCAUCGUUGGGUGAGUGGAUGCUGUGGGAUCAGGAACCGCUUCAAAGAAGAGAUCACUUGCGUCAGGAAUUCUCUUCUCUCACCAAGGGCCAGCAGCAUUCUUGACCCUUAAAGACUAGUCAAACAUUAUUGAACGCUUCCCUUUUGUUAUUGAAGAAUCGAGCCACCACCUGAUGUUGCCAGAGGAGAAUCUGUGUCACAGGAAGCCACAAAAUAACUCUAUUGUCCCUAAAUAGAGAGUUCGGGAUCAAACCACGACGGCAUUGGAAAAUCGGAUUCUUGAUUGACAGCGGCUACAAUUCAGGGUCACUGAUUGAGAUGUCACAGAUCUGACAAGUGGACAAGAUAUUUAAUAUAAAAGACGUUUACAUAUAGUCCACAAGAGAAAAUAAUAAUUGAAUUUAUAAAAAUGACCCCGUUCAAAAGUUUUCAUACACUUGAUUCUUAAUACUGUGUUUUUAUCUGAAUGAUCCACAGCUGCUUUUUUUUUUUUUUUUUUUUUUUUUUUAGUGAUAGUGGUUCUUGAGUCCCUUGUUUGUCCUAAACAGUUAAACUGCCAACAGUUCUUCAGGAAAAUCCUUCAGGUCCCACAAAUUCUUUGGUUUUUCAUUUUCGUGUAUUUGAACCAUUUCCAACAAUGACUGUACGAUUUUGAGAUGCAUCUUUUCACACUGAGGACAACUGAGGGACUCAUAUGCAACUAUUACAGAAGUAUCAAAAGCUCACUAAUGCUUCAGAAGGAAAAACGAUGCAUUAAGAACCGGGGGGUGAAAACUUUUUGAAUUUGAAGAUUGGUGUUUUUGCAUUUUGUCUUCUGGAAACAUAUAAGCAUCUUCUGUAGCUUCUGAAGGGCAGUACUAAAUGAUAAAAAAUAUAUAAUAUUUAGGCAAAAUAAGUAAAAUGUACACUUCAUUCUGUUCGAAACAGUAUUAAAAAUCAAGUGUAUGUAAACUUUUAAACAGGGUCAUUUUUUAAAAAUUCAACAUAUUUUCUCUUGUGUACUAUAUGUAAACGUCUUUUAUGUGAAUUAUCUUAUUCAGAUCAGUACUAAAUAAAAAAAAUAACAUGCAUUUUGUAUGAUCACUCUUAUUUUGGUAAAAUAAUUAGUAUUUUGCAGGCUCUGCAAGGUGUAUGUAAACUUUUGACUUCAACUGUACUGUGGAUGUUUUUUUCUUCAAAUGUAACUUUUUUUCAAAAUGAAUUGUUAAAUAAUUUUUAACUAGUCUUAGCAUCAAGAAUGAUGUGUGUGUAUACAUAUAUAUUUAUACAUACACUGACACACAUAUAUACACACAUUAUUCUUUAUCAUUAAAGACUAAUGUAUAUGAAGUCUAAAAGCUAAUAAAAAAGUUCACAA